rnacentral:rRNA from 1 species
CUACGUGCCAGCAGCCGCGGUAAUACGUAGGGGGCAAGCGUUAUCCGGAUUUACUGGGUGUAAAGGGAGCGCAGACGGCCAAGCAAGUCUGAAGUGAAAUGCAUGGGCUCAACCCAUGAAUUGCUUUGGAAACUGUUUGGCUUGAGUGUCGGAGGGGUAAGCGGAAUUCCUAGUGUAGCGGUGAAAUGCGUAGAUAUUAGGAGGAACACCGGAGGCGAAGGCGGCUUACUGGACGACAACUGACGUUGAGGCUCGAAGGCGUGGGGAGCAAACAGGAUUAGAUACCCUGGUAGUCCACGCAGUAAACGAUGAA